GGAAUAUUGGACAAUGGGCGAAAGCCUGAUCCAGCAAUGCCGCGUGAGUGAUGAAGGCCUUAGGGUUGUAAAGCUCUUUUACCCGGGAUGAUAAUGACGGUACCGGGAGAAUAAGCCCCGGCUAACUCCGUGCCAGCAGCCGCGGUAAUACGGAGGGGGCUAGCGUUGUUCGGAAUUACUGGGCGUAAAGCGCGCGUAGGCGGGUGUGUAAGUUAGAGGUGAAAGCCCGGAGCUCAACUCCGGAACUGCCUUUAAGACUGCAUCGCUAGAACGUUGGAGAGGUGAGUGGAAUUCCGAGUGUAGAGGUGAAAUUCGUAGAUAUUCGGAAGAACACCAGUGGCGAAGGCGACUCACUGGACAACUGUUGACGCUGAGGUGCGAAAGCGUGGGGAGCAA
rnacentral:rRNA from 1 species